rnacentral:rRNA from 1 species
ACCAACCCUUCGGGGUGAGUGGCAGUACGGGUGCGUAACACGUGGGAAACCUACCUUAAGGUACGGAACAACACCGAGAAAUUGGUGCUAAUACCGUAUGUGCCCUUCGGGGGAAAGAUUUAUCGCCUUAAGAUGGGCCCGCGGCAGAUUAGGUAGUUGGCGGGGUAAUGGCCUACCAAGCCGACGAUCUGUAGCUGGUCUGAGAGGAUGAUCAGCCACACUGGGACUGAGACACGGCCCAGACUCCUACGGGAGGCAGCAGUGGGGAAUAUUGGACAAUGGGCGAAAGCCUGAUCCAGCGAUGCCGCGUGAGUGAUGAAGGCCUUAGGGUUGUAAAACUCUUUCGCUAGGGAAGAUAAUGACGGUACCUAGUAAAGAAGCCCCGGCUAAUUUCGUGCCA